CGUAAACAGAGGGAAGCGAGCCUGCAGGGGGAGCGAAUCCCAAAAAUAACGUCCCAGUUCGGAUUGUAGUCUGCAACCCGACUACAUGAAGCUGGAAUCGCUAGUAAUCGCGGAUCAGAAUGCCGCGGUGAAUACGUUCCCGGGUCUUGUACACACCGCCCGUCACACCAUGGGAGUCGGAAAUGCCCGAAGUCUGUGACCCAACCUUAGGGAGGGAGCAGCCGAAGGCAGGUCGGAUGACUGGGGUGAAGUCGUAACAAGGUAGC
rnacentral:rRNA from 1 species